rnacentral:rRNA from 1 species
AAACCCUACGGGGCGCAGCAGUGGGGAAUAUUGCACAAUGGGGGAAACCCUGAUGCAGCGACGCCGCGUGAGUGAAGAAGUAUUUCGGUAUGUAAAGCUCUAUCAGCAGGGAAGAAAUACUGACCUUACGGUCAGCAGACGGUACCUGACUAAGAAGCCCCGGCUAACUACGUGCCAGCAGCCGCGGUAAUACGUAGGGGGCAAGCGUUAUCCGGACUUACUGGGUGAAAAGGGAGCGUAGACGGAGGAGCAAGUCUGAUGGGAAAAUCCGGGGCCCAACCCCGGAACCGCAUUGGAAA